GCCAUAUCACAUUGAAAUACUGGUUCUCGUCCGAUCACCAAACUUGAGCAACGUCGAGCCUGGUCUGUACCUAGAUUGGUGACUGCUUGGGAAUACCAGGUGCUGUAAG